CGAGACUUUGUCUCAAAAACAAACAAACAAAAAAGUAAAUUAAAAAUAAUUUUCUUCUCAAUAUGCAUUAAAGAACAGAAAAUAAUUUAAUAGAAAGAUGCAGAUCUCCACUCAGAUUAAGAACAUUAGCUAACAUUUUGCCAUAUUUACUUCAACUCUUCUCUUAAAAAUAUCAUAAAGAUACAGUUUAUGCCUCACCUCCUAUUCUUGUCCCUCUAUCCAACCCUCCUUCCCAGAAGUAACCACUAUUUUGAAGUUGGUAUACAUCAUUUGCAUGGUUGUUUUAUAUUUUUCUACAUAGCUAUAUCCUUAAAUAUUGUGAUCUUUUUAGUUUGUUUUAAAGACUUACACAAAUAGAAUCAUUCACAUAUGCUUUUUUUUUUUUUUUGCAAGUUGCUCUUUACACUUAUCAUUGUUUUCGAAAUUUAUCUGAGCUGGUAGUUACAGAUUUAGUUCAGUUAUUUUCAUUUUAACUGUGCAUAGUAUCCCGUUAUAUAUAAAUCGCACUUCACUUACCCAUGUGCCUUUUGAUGGAUAGUUAUUUAAUAAUAUCAUUGCUGCUGUUUUAUUAUACAACAAUUGAAAAUAUAUAAUAUUAUGCAACAACAAUACUAAUAUGGUUGCUAUUAUAGACAGUAUUGCAAUGAAAGUCUUUGAACAUGUCUCCUUGUACAAACUGGUAUUUGUACAGGGUGAUUCCUGGGAAUAUGUGCAUCAUGCAUGUAUAUGCAAGCAUGUUUACUUUCAGUAGGUAUGGCCAAAUAUCUCUCCAAUGACUAGACAUUCAUAUUCUCAUCAACAACAGAUAUGAAUUUGCUUCCCUAUAUCUUACUUUUAGACUCUUGCCAUUCUCAUGAGUACAUUCAAUUAGUUUGCAUUUCCCUGACUACUAGUGAGACGGAGCAGUAGCGCUUUAUGUUGAUUACCCGUUUAAGUUGCCUCUUCUGUGAAUUGUCUAUAUACAUUCUUUCUCUGUUUUGUUCUUUGGUUGUUUGCCUUUUCCUUAUUGAUUUGCAAGUAUUCUUUGUGUAUUAUUUUGUUUUUCUGAUUCUUUGUUGUUACGUGCAUUGGAAGUAUCUUCUUCCAGAAGUCUGUGGUGUGUCUCUUUACUUUGUUUAUGGUGUCUUUUGUUAUACAAAUUUAUUUAUGAUGGCUGCCUAAUUGCCUAUUAUGAAGAUUAAACAAUUUACUUAACCUGCAUUCUAUUAUCAGAUCCAUAGAUUGUUUCUAAUUUGUCAUUAUUUUAUAUAGCAUUGCUAUGAACAUCUUUAUGCAUGAGUCUUUGUCUGUCUCUAAUUAUUUUCUCAAAUUAGAUUAUUAGAAUGGGAAUUCCUGGUCAAAGAGUAUAGGCAUUUUUGAGACGCCUGAGUACUGUUUUGAGUACUGCCAGAAUACUUUUCAGAAAGGCUACUUGCAUACAACUUCAGCAAUCUGUGCGAGUCUCUGUCUUACUCAGCACUGCAGGUACUUAAUAGUAUUAUAAUGUUGAAAGAUCUUCCUAAUUUGAAGACAAAAAAUGGUAUCUCUUGUUUCAACAUGUACUGUUUGGACUACCAUUGAAAUAGAAACAUAAUUCUAAUGUUUAUCAGAUAUUUAUAUUUCCUCCUUUGUGUACUAUCUGCUUCAUAUCUUUUCCCUGGUUAGUACAGAAGAGUUUAAGUACUCAGGCCCAAGAGCCAGAUGGACUGCAUUCAAAUCCCAGCUUCGCCACUUAUUAGUUGUGCCGCUUCAGGCAAGUUACUUAGCUUUUCUAUAUCUCAGUUCUCUCGUCUGUUAAAUGGGGACAGUAACACCUUAUUAGAGUUGUUUACAAGGGUUAAAUGAGUAAGUAGAGUAUAUGCAAAAUACUCAGAAUGGUGCCUGGCACAUAGUACUACAGAAAUGUUUGUAAUUGUUGUUGUUACCUAUUAAGAGCUUUGUGGUUUGAAAGACUUUGAUUUUAAGAAUAUAAGUUCUUUCUCUGAUAUAUUUAGCAUUACUAUUUUUUUCUCAGUUUGACUUAAAGUUUUGUCUUUUGAUAAGUGUAUGGUUCUGCGCAGUAAAAACUUCUUUUUGAUAUUUCAAUAAUUUGAAUUUUUAAAUCUUCUUUACAUUUAACUCAUUAUCCAUUGAAAACUUGUUUUGCAGACCACUCUAUCAAGAGGGUGGCUGACUGGGCCCCAGAAUUACCCUUCCCUUCCCUUUGCCUUAGUAUAAAGGCAAUCACUGGCCAAAAGCUUGGGUUUAGGGAAACACAGAUGUCUGCCUGUUUGGCCCACAAACGCGGAAGCGCAUACAGAGAGGAUGAACCCCAGGCCACAUCUCCUACAGUUAAGCAGGAGUUCCAGCCAGGUUGAGCUGAGGCACAACGUAGGGAGAGUGGAAGAGGCUUGGUACCUUUGGGCCUAGUUCGGCACCUGGUAUGGGCUUUGUGCCCGGCCCUGGUGAGUGGCACCAGCUGACCGUCAGCAGGGAUGGGGGUGGGAGGAAGGCAGAGCUGACCUACCAGCAGGACACGGCACAGUGGGAAGCUGGCAGGCCCCUCUCCUCCAGCCAAAGGGAACGCACUCUGAGGAAGCUACGCCUGGGACCGGGUCAGCCAAAGGCCUAGAGCCAGGAUUUUCAUGCCCACUGGGUCGAGAAGCCUGGUAAAGGCCCAGUAAUAUCCCCCCACAGUACUUCCAAAGAAAGCUUGACUUUGGGUUAGGUGCUCUGUGUACUUUAUCUCAUUUAAUUCUAACAACCAUGUGAGGCAGCCACAAUUUACUGAUUAUUCUCAUUUUUCAGAGAAUAAAACAGAGGCUCUAGAAUCCAGGCAGGAUGGCCCCAGAAUCUGUGCUAAAGUCUGCAUGUUCUAUCCCAGGGCUUGCCAAGAUUAUUCUAUAAAGGGCAGAUAGGAUAUAUUUUAGGUUUGAGGGCCAUGUUAGGUCUCUGUCAUGUAUUCUUUUUGAUAACCCUUUAAAAACCAUUCUUAGCUUGCAGCAUCACACAAAAAGAGGCUGCAAGUCAAAUCUGGUCAUAGUUUGCCAACCCCUGAUGCACACAUAUUACAGACUAUGGCGUACGGACUCUGCUAUCCUGUCCUGGGUCCCACUUUACCACACAACCGUGUGACAAUGGUACGUAGGUCCCCACCGACUUCACAGGGUUGCCAGGAGGAGGAGCAAUGCCCCAGCACCAUGCCUGACACAGCGACAGCUCAAAUCCAUGUGGAAAGCAGACCAUAGAAAGAGAAGGAAAAGGCAAGGAAAGCCACACCAGUGGCAAACAGCACAGAGGAGAUGGGGGGGCAGCAGCAGAUGAGAAGGUCUACAGUAGAAUGAUAGGAAGUUUGGGGUUUCCAGACACUUUAAACAAGCCUAUAGAAAAAAAAAAAAGCCAGGAUGCUGAACUCAGAAAGCAAAGGAUUUGUUAUCCCCUUAACAGAAGGACUUGCAGCAGGACAUCUUUCAGUAAUAAGCUCUUCUAGCAUUUUAGAAUAGGUUUCAUUCACCCCCUAACCUCACUUAGGGCCACCUUUUCAGGGGCACAAUGAAGCUGGCAAGGCCCUCCAGACUCAGCAAGAUGCUACUGUGCAGGCUGUUCUCACACAGAAGUAAGAGGAAGGAGAGUGGCCCACAGAAAGCCUCUCCCUAAGCUACAUGGAACAUGGAAUGUCCAGUUUUCAAAACAGCAACCCUCGGAGGUAUUACUACUUCCAUUUUACAGAUGAAGAACCAGGCUCAAGAGGUAAAAUAACUUUCUACAGUCACACAGCUAUUCUAGUCAGGACUAGAAUCCAGGACUCCCAAAUCUCAGGCUCCUUCGCUAGUUCCAAACCAUGUGAAAAUGGUAAUACAAUCAUUGAAUACUUGGUAUAUGCCAGACCCUGUGAUAAGCACUUUGCAAGUAUUCAUUCACUGAAUCCUCACAACAAACCUGUGAAGUGCCAUCUAAUAUUAUCCCCAUUUUGCAGAGUGAUGACGUGAACCGUGCAAGGUAACAAGAGGCAGAGCUGGAUUCGAACCCAGACAGUCUGGCUCCAGGCCCUCUUCUAUUUAAUAUUAUACUGUUCUCUCUGCAAAAACACUGCUUCCCAGGUAGUUAAGAAAAGGUACAGAGUAACAGGCCACCUAUGGGAACACAGGAAGUAAUGGAAGGCAACUCCAGCUGGCGAGAGAAAGACACUAUGCAGAGAAGCAGAAAUCCCCCUGAGCCCUGUGAGCACUGGGGCUGAAGCCCUGCCCCCUUCUGCAUCUGCUGGGCAGUGGGAAGAGGAGGGAGAGAUGGGCACAAGAAAUUAGGUAGCCAAUGGUCCAUGUUGUCUCCUCCUGUCCAAGAGCAUGCAUAGGCCUAGACCAAGUCAGGAUUGCUCUUCUGCACUACCAGGCUGAUGGAGAGGAGGGGUGAGGUUUGAGCACCCUCAUGGAGAGGAGGGCUCUGGAUUCUGGUAGAUGUCAGGAAGGAUGGGGUGGGCCUUGGAGGGGGGUAAGUUUGGGAGACACUUCUGAGUGUUUAGCCACCCAAGCUCAUAGGGAUCUCAUCCUUUUGGCAGCAACUGGUAGAAUGGUCCCUAGGGUCCUGCUGUGAGGAACAGGGAAUGAGGAAUCCCAGAAGUGGGACCUCCUGAAGUGCUUUGGGUCUAGAUGGCAAUAGCAGGAUGGGAAAAGGGGAUCAGGUCCUCAGCUCCCUUGCCCGGACAAUUGCAACUACUACUUUAUCCUUUACGCUGAGGCUGCUGGCCUGGGUGGGAGAAAUCAGGCAGAAACGCAGCCUGGACUAGGUCCUCCCAUGGAAAAUUUCCUGUCUCCACAGCACCUAUGAGACCAAGUCCAGACCCCUUAGCUGGCUCCCAAGGCCCCUCAGUAGUCUGUUCAUCUUGGCAUCAUCACUCCUGUUCCCAACUCAGUGUUCCAGCCCCACAGGCUUACUGUCAGCUCCCUGAAUUCACCCAGGCUGUUCACAUUGCCAUGCUCUUGCCCAACCUGAGUCCAUUUAUUUCAUCAUGUGGGUGCCUUUUCUGGUUUAGGACUUGUGCUGCACACAAGACCCAGAGAAGAGGAAAAUUCAGUUUGUGCCCUCAGGGUCCCCAUCCACUGAGGAAGACAGCCGUGGGAAAAGACAAUUAUGGCAAAUGACGGCAUGUGUACACAAAGGGGCAUGGACAGUAGUGUUUACUGUAGCACCGUUUGCAACUGCGAAAGACUGGGGGGCCCCAAGAAUAUUCAUCAAUAGAAGAUUAUUUCAAAAAGCCAGAGCCCCCUUCAGGCCAGGGUCCUUACAUAUUAAAACUUCUUUUUAACAUAAAGUUAUGUAAAGCCCCUAUAUAUUUUUAUAUGUACAAAUCAAACUGAGAACAGUCUCUGAGGAAGAGAGGGGGAAAUGGGGGAAGGGUGACCCUCAUUUUCUGUUUUGUUCAAAUAUUUUAAAAAGCCAUAACACAGAUGAUGAUUUAAAAAAUAAUAAUAUUUCUAAGGGACAGAGGGGUAGCAUAGAGGAGAGGAUGACCUAGGAGACACUGACCCAGGAGGCCAUGCAGAGAACGGCCAUGAGAAUGGCUAUGAGGAUGAUGGUCCUAUUGGGCUGGGCAGAGGACACAGGCACUGUCAGUGUUGGGCCCUGCUAUGGUUUAAGUGUGCCCCCAAAAGCACAGGUGUUGGAAACUUAAUCCCCAGUGCAACAGUGUUGAGAACCGGGACCUUUAAGAGAGAAGUAGGUCAUGGGGACUCUGCCUUCAUGAAUGGAUGAAUGCUGCCACUGUGAGAAUGGGCUAAUUAUGGUGGAGUUUGGUCUCUUUUUCUCUCUGUCUUGAAUGUUUGCUUGCCCUUUUGCCAUGUUACGAUGCAGCAAGAAGGUCUUCCCCAGAUGCGGCCCUGUGAUCUUGGACUUCCCAGCCUCCAGAACCAUUUAUUGAGCUAAAUAAACCUCUUUCUUUAGAAAUUA